rnacentral:rRNA from 1 species
UACGUAGGGUGCGAGCGUUAAUCGGAAUUACUGGGCGUAAAGCGUGCGCAGGCGGUUUUGUAAGUCUGACGUGAAAUCCCCGGGCUUAACCUGGGAAUUGCGUUGGAGACUGCAAGGCUGGAGUCUGGCAGAGGGGGGUAGAAUUCCACGUGUAGCAGUGAAAUGCGUAGAUAUGUGGAGGAACACCGAUGGCGAAGGCAGCCCCCUGGGAUAACACUGACGCUCAUGCACGAAAGCGUGGGGAGCAAACAGG